CCUACGGGAGGCAGCAGUGAGGAAUAUUGGUCAAUGGGCGCAAGCCUGAACCAGCCAAGUCGCGUGAGGGAUGACGGUCCUAUGGAUUGUAAACUUCUUUUGUCGGGGAGCAAGGCCCGCCACGUGUGGCGGGAAGGAGAGUACCCGUAGAAAAAGAAUCGGCAAACUCCGUGCCAGCAGCCGCGGUAAUAAGGAGGAUGCGAGCGUGAUCCGGAUUUAUUGGGUUUAGGGGUGCGUAGGCGGAAGGUUAAGUCAGUGGUAAAAUGUCGGUGCUCAAGACCGGCCUGCCGUUGAAACUGGUCUUCUUGAGUGAGCGAGAAGUAUGCGGAAUGCGUGGUGUAGCGGUGAAAUGCAUAGAUAUCACGCAGAACACCGAUUGCGAAGGCAGCAUACCGGCGCUCAACUGACGCUGAGGCACGAAAGCGUGGGGAGCGAACAGGAUUAGAUACCCUUGUAGUC
rnacentral:rRNA from 1 species